CUCCAGGUAGAAAGCUGGGACAGUUUUAGGGCUUACCUUGUUUGUUUCCUUUCUUUUGGGGAUCAAUUUCUGUGCAGUCUGCAGCUUAUGUUUGAAAAGAGUUGUUUCAUAAAUGCUUUCCUUUUGAAAAAAUAGUUUAUAGUGGGCAAGUAAGUCUAGUACCAGUUACUGUAUCAUAUACUGUGACUAGAAGUUAUAAAAUCACAUUUUAAGUCAAAGUGGAACAAUCUUUUCUCAUUACUCUUUGUAGGCAUAUAUAAUUUUAUCUGAUAACUGGUUAACUGAAAAAAAAAAUCCCUUUAGUACAAUACUGAGAAAUUAAGAAUUUCCAAUAAGAGAACUAGACUCUUAGAGUUGAGUUAAUUUGAUGUGUCUUUUGCCCAUCGGACAGGGCUACAAAAUGAUUUGGGAGAGAACUUGGCUGUAGUCUCUCUUAACAAAUAUCAAAGUAUCCUUCAUUUUGUCACUCACUCUACUUUUGUCUACAGAAAGUGAAUUCAAAAAAGCUGGAGAGGAGACGCAUCAGGUCAGAAGGGAUUUGCUGCUCUGAACUGCCAGUUACACUGCACAAAAGUUUAGAGCUCCGCCAAUCACAUAUUCCAGACUGUUUUUGCCAGAUGACUUCCUACUGGGUUCUGCUAAUUUCUGUCAUUGGAAGAAGACUGGAAGGUGGUUUCCUGAGAAGCUAAGGGAAGAGAAGACUUAGACAUUACUAGAACCCAUUCCUCAAGACACUGUAUUCAGACAGAGGUAAAGUACCUGUGCAUAACUCCACAUACCUCCUUAAUCGAUACUGUGGCUGAUAAGGUGAUUGCUGAUUAGGUGUUUAGCUUUCAUAGUGACCACAAAUUCUUUUUUGGGGAGAAAUUCUUUUCUUUUUCCAGCUUACCUUUUCCAACUCACAUGCUUUUAAAAGCAAUGUUUGCAGUUUCUGCCACUCCAAUGUCAACGAGAAUUUAUUUUAAAAUGUGUAUGAACUGGCAGCUUCUCAGAAAAAAAAAACAUUGUUUUGGGAAUGAAGUCAUCUGUUUGGAGAGCAAAGCCUCAAGUAUCAUGCAAGGGGCGGGAACCCAGUGCCCUCUGCCUGCUCAACCCUUUGGCACACACAGCCAUUGUCAAAACCUGUUUCCAGAGCAACUGAAUUCUCUGUUGAAAUUACUUGGCAGUUGACAAGCUCCUCUCCCUAAGGGUCUGGAGUAACUCCUUUCAAGGGUCUUAUUUUAAUGUAGCUUGUCCCUGAUGGAGACCAAGAUCAUUGCCAGCUGAAGAAUUUACCAGUACUCUCAAGUUGGCUCACCUGAUACAUUUUUAUAGUAGAGAUCAAGGUGUGUGUUUGGGAUUUGGACUCUAAUUGAUGUCUUCAUCGUCUUAGAAACACGUAUGUCCUAAAGUCAAAACAAUAGCUGGCUUUUUGGGUUAUCUGCAGGAUAAUAUUGUAUCUGGGUACACAAUGUUGGCAGUCUUUGAGAGGUAUUGCUCCCAUGCAUUCUUCCAAACUGUGUAUGGAGUAAAUAGCCAUUCAGUAUUACAGACUCUGUUUUCUGACCAUGGCACAGCGGGGUCUGGGGAAAGGAGAAGACUGGGCCUUCCUUUGACUUUGUAAGUCUUUGCUUUAAAAAAAUCAUUUAAAAAAACGCAAUCAAAGCUUAAUUUAAAAACGGAUGUCCAGGAUGAAUUGCUAGGUCAAAACUAACAAAAGUGGAAUUUAAUAUAAGUGUAAAAAUCCUGUGAUUAAGUUAAAAAAUCAGCUUCCUAAAUAACUACCAGGUGGGGAAGCUCUUGAUUUUACAGUCACAGUGAAUCUUUUUCUAUUAAGGGAGGCCAACUUGCAUGACUUCUUCAACCAGCCCCCCCGGAAAAACCUCUCCUGGGCCAUGUGCAAACAAAGAAUAAUUUAAAUCUCAUUAGAGAAAAAAAAGAUUAAACAGAACUCUUCAUUGUUGAAUGGUAUCCAUUAAUUAAGGGCAAAAGAGUAAAAGCAUUUUAACUAUACAGCUGAACUAACAGAAUUUGAUAUUUAGGCUAUUAAACCUAAAAUCCAGGUCAAUCAUUGAAAAUAAAAUUGGACACAUAUAGAAAGUAAAAACAUAACUGAGAAAAUACAAAUGGAUACACAGAGAAAAGGAGAAGGCAUUGGGGUCCCAUGCACAAUCUUCCUGAGCUAAGUAUGUCGGGGAAACUUAGGUCUCUUGAUUAAAUCCAGGUUGGUUUUGGCAUUUCUGGGGGACCAAAGAGGGAAAUGGGUUCCAUUAAGUUACUUGAUGGUGGCUGCAGCCAAUCAAAAGUAAGGCCCAUUAGAAAGGCCCUGCAUAGCUCAUGUAGGACAGGCCUUUCACAUGCCAUGGUGCAUUACACUUUCAAGGCACCUUCACUUUCAUAAUCUCUUUUGCUCCUCCUGUCUUACAGAUGUGAUCAUUGAAGGACUGAGAGCAGAAAUAUCUUUAAAUUCCCAGAGCCAGUUAGCAGCAGGGCUAGGUCUGGUCCCCUUGGCCCCUGCUUUUUUGUAUUGAUUACCUCUCUUAGAAGAUUGCAUCUUACAAAAGGUCAUUACCUUAUCUAGGAAAUGUUAACCUUAAUUCCUACCUUGAAUUAAAAUUGGUUGGGGAGUUGGGGUGGGGAGUGAGGAUUAGACUUAAGCACCUGCCUCCCAAGCUCUCUUCCCUGGGAUAGUCUGAGCCACUUCUUGUCUUCUGGGUCCCAGUUUCUUAUGUCCUUUCAGUGGGGUCUACAGAUGGACUGGGAGUUGGCAAAAUCAGCUGGUGCUUUGGGAUUGAUGAUGCUUGGUUGCCUCUUCUUGAGCCAGUAGAGCCUGGGAUACCUUUUAUAUGAUGCAAUGGGAUUCACAGAAGCUACACUCAGUGCAAAUGCCUUUGUCUUUUCAGAGAGCAGAAAUUCUGGUGGGUACUCAGUUGGAGAUUAUCUCUGCUGUUUUAUCUCCUUCCUGUUCUUUCCUCUUACAUUGUCCCCCUUUUCCCAUCAAUGUUCACAUUUCUGGCUUAUCUAGAAUAUUAUGUCUUUGCAUAUGUGGAACAUUGGCUCAAUAAUGAGCACCCGUGCUUUUCAGAUGGGUUUGGGGAUUGUCAGCCACAUAACCUCAUCGCUGGUCUUAUAUAGAUUCCCAUGAUAUCAUCUCUGGGUCCUGUGGGGGUAAAUCUCAACUUAUCAAACCAGUCUUGCUGGGUCAUAGGCUCAUUUACUUCAUUACUCACUUCAACGCCCUUCUUUUGCUCUCAUCUCUCCCCACUUUGGCCAUAUGUCAUUCCAUAUCUCUGUGUUUCAGAAACUUAAUUGCAAACUGAAAUUGCAUGGAUUGGGUUUACUCAGUUUUAUUAUUACAAUACUAAAAAAUAUUUAUUAAGUGCUUAAUUGUGCAUGGUGAUAUAUAAAAGGGGCUGACUUGAUGAUGUGCAAAUAAUAAUAAUCUCUUAUAUUUUAUUACAGCUAAUGCUAUUAUGUCCAUUAUCUCCUUUAGUGCACCAAUUCCAGCUAUUUGUGCCUUAUACAUUUGUCUAAGGAGGUGUGGGAUACUCUUGGCACACUCGGAAUACUGCUUGCCAGUAAGUCCGAUCCCUAAGUCUUACGGCCAAAGGGGCUGUGCAAAGGACCUUGGGAUCAAUUUUAAGGCUUUUAACAUUUCUCUGCCUCUGAUUAUUAGUUCAAACAUGCAUCAUAGGGAAUCAGAUUGGAGGGAAGGGGCAAUAGACAUCCCCCCACAGUUUAGGACCAUGAGAAGUUGAAUUGGAGGCAGGGGAAAAAGUGUGGCCUUAUUAAAGGUGUUGUUUAAUAUUCCAAGUUUGGGAUCAGUGUCAAGUAGCCUCCAGUUAGACUCUUGCUGAACUCAAAAAGGGUUUCACUCACUAAAACUCUUUAGUGAGGUAUUAAUAAGUAUGACACCACAAAAGGGAUCCAUGUCCAGAGAAUUUAGAAAAUGAGCCUUUCUCAACACACAUUAGCAUAUUGAUGGCUUGGAGAAAUCCUUCAGCAAAGGAAACAUUUUAAACCUGCCUUAACUCAGAGUUUCCUAAAAGUAUUGGAUCAUGGAACCAUUUGGAGGAGGAGCACCUGUGAACAUCUGUGUAUCCCAAGUUCUGGGAAGUGCUGAAUUUGACUAAGUUUUGUAAGGGAGGAGAUGUAAUAACGAAAGAAACACACAGCCUUAGGGGUGGUUAAGGAGGAAAUGAAGCAGUCAGGAGAAGGCAGAGGGACCCAACUGCAGGUGGUGGCUGAGGCCCUGCCCAGUGUUUUUGCCAUGGGGAGGCAUCUACUGUUCUGAGGUCUCCAGCCCUCGCUGUCUCACUGUGCAUUGCCUUUUGGGAAGCAUGGAUUAUUCUUUCUCCUGUCAAAACACACCUUCCAUUUAGAAAGAAAGUCAGAAGUUUCUCGGAUUGGGUCCUGGUAGAUUCUGAAUCUAGGAUGAAUGGCUUCAAACUUGAACUCCUGAUUUUUUAGCUGCGCGUGUGACCAGAAAGCAAGGUGUUUGCUAGAACUUACAUUGCUGACCCUUCACCUACUUUUAGAAACCCUUUUCACUUUUGCAUGUUUUUCCCUGGAGGUUCGCUAUCAGGCUGCUGCAAACUCAUCAGAUGACAGGUACCCAGAGCUGCUAUUUCUGGAAGCUCUUGGCCAUGUAAAAAUACCAAAAAUAUUUUUUCCUUGUUAAAGUAUAAGAACUAGUCUUAGUGAGAUUUAAAUCAUAUGUUGAUUUUGCUUGGAAAACCCCCAAUCUUUGGUCUGUGUUUUAGGAUGGACUUUGAGGUUCAAUUCCAGGGCUUUAGAAUAUGUUCUUUAGCAAAUAACUUGAUGUAUUUGAAUGGUGCUUCUAAAUUUCUGAAACAGCACUAAAGGAUGUUAUUUUUUGGUGUGGCUGGGAAUAAAAAUACCCUGUUAAACUUUUGAACCAUACAUCCCUCUGCCUCAAUAGUUGGGCAGAUGUGGAGAGAAACUACUGCUUUUUUUUUUUUUUAACAUUUGGAAGGCGGUAUGUACCAAGUAAAGUUCCCUCCCAACAUAGUUUUGCUUUAUUUGAAGAAGUUUAUUAGACAAGAUUAGUCUUCAGGCAAUAAUAGAGAUUCUUCAGGAACCAAAUAUUUACAUUUUGAACUAGCUGUAGAAAUGUUUAGUGAUUCUUGUGAAUUUAGCUUAGACACUGCUACCUAUUGUAUUGAAUUCAUGCUUUCCUCUUGGGAACGAAGUUUGAGGUAAUCUAUGAAAUGUAUACAUAAUUAAGGUAAUGGAAGAUAUUUUGAAACUUAAAAAUUAUGGAAUGAUUUUUCCAUUGACCAAGGUUUAGGAAUGGUGUAGAAGAAAUCUGAGGCUGGCUUUAAACUUCAGAAUGCAUUUUUGAGGAAAGAAGGACUCUUUGUUUUUAUAAAUAUGUUUUAAUUGAGUCAUCUCUGGGACUCUGUUUGGAGGUUAGGUCUUCCAGGAAGGGGGAUGAAACAUUUUGUAGCUAAGGUCUAUUCUGAUUAUCUUUGAUUUGAAUUCAUUGCUUUUAAUUUGUCUUUUCCCCCCAUUAUUUUUACAUGGGUAAAUGGAGAGUAUUCUGGCUGUCAGUGCUUUGACAUUUUUAUUAGAUAAAUUUAAAAGGCAUUUAUUCAGGCCAAUUCUGUAUUCUCCAAAGCUUCAAAUGAAAGAGUGCAAUAUCCCAGUCAUGAAACACCUCAAGAAGGACUUAUGUUUAUCUUCUAAAAUGAGGUUUCACUUGGUAUAUGUUUGGCUGACAUAUUGCAGUUCUAAAACUUGAGCAGACAAGCAUUUUGAAGAGAUUAUUUCACCAAUUGAAAAGUGAUUAUGUAACAUCUGUGAACUCAGUGUGCAUUUCAGGAAAAAUGCUGUUGGCUUUGUCUUCAUCCUCAAGUCAUACAUUAAGCCUUGAAACUCAGAAGUGUCCUCUGAGCUGUCAUUAGUGACUCUUCAACUGUCCCUUCUCUUUUUUGUGUUUCAGCAUAAUGAUUGCAUAUGAAUGAAAUUAGAAUUUCAUGUAGUAUAGGUUUCAGUGAAAAACAAUCCAAUAACAGUAUUCUAAUCUCUCUCUUUUUGUUCAAGGACUAGUUUCUUUUGUUGUGUUCCUUCAAAUCCAGAAUUCUCAAAUCUCCAGUACAAAUGGCUAUUAUGCCUAUAAAAAAGCAAGCUGAUCUCAGAUUCAUGCAGACAAUAGGCUUACUCUGGACAAUUUUGUAAAUGGUCUCAUAUUGUGUUAUUUCUGUGUGAUGAUUUCCUGAUAUAGUGGUAAUUUGGUGGGAUUUCAGGGUUUUUAGACCGCUGUUUCACUCUAAGUCAUUAAAACAACAAACAGGUUAUGCUGGAGAUAAUUGGAAGAUAUUCCUAGUUAGCUUUUGGGGUGAUGAAAUGUUAAGGAGAAGUGUAUUUCUGGUCCUCCUUUUUGUUGAAGGGAUGAAUGGAUGGAUGAUAAACCAAUCGAAAGACUCCCUGUCUACCAGAGCCAAGCUGUAGAGAAUCUUACUUAAUAAAUCUGCUGAUAAUAAAUUUGUAUAUACCAGUACUGCUAAUUGGUCAUGUACCAUAUAUUUCUGUGCCUCAGAUGUCCUUGCACUAUUCCUGCUGCCUCAUCUUAAUCCAGACCCUCAUUGUCUUAUACCAAAGAUAACUAUAACAACUUUCUUGCUAGUCUCUGGCCUCCAACCUCUGGCUUCUUCCAGUUCACAGUGGGUCUAGCACUAGCUGAAAAAUCUCCCCAAAUGUCCUGUUACCUUUUGCAAGGACCUGCAAUGGCUCCCCAUUGUCGGCCUUAUCAUGUCGAAACGUCUUAUUCUAUGUAGUGAUGUGAGCAUACUUGUUCUCCUUCAGCCCAACUGAGUGUG